GGUUAAGUGACUAAGCGUACACGGUGGAUGCCUUGGCAGUCAGAGGCGAUGAAAGACGUAGUAACUUGCGAUAAGCCCAGAUUAGGUAGUAACAACCAUUUGAGUCUGGGAUUUCUGAAUGGGGAAACCCACUUACAUAAGUAAGUAUCAUUAACUGAAUACAUAGGUUAAUGAGGCGAACCGGGGGAACUGAAACAUCUAAGUACCCCGAGGAAAAGAAAUCAACCGAGAUUCCGAAAGUAGCGGCGAGCGAAAUUGGACUAGCCCUUAAGCUUUACACGCGUUAGACGAACGGUCUGGAAAGUCCGACGAUACAGGGUGAUAGUCCCGUAGUUGACGACGUGUGUUCAGUGAAAUCGAGUAGGGCGGGACACGUGAUAUCCUGUCUGAAUAUGGGGGGACCAUCCUCCAAGGCUAAAUACUACUGACUGACCGAUAGUGAACCAGUACCGUGAGGGAAAGGCGAAAAGAACCCCUGUGAGGGGAGUGAAAUAGAACCUGAAACCGUGUACGUACAAGCAGUAGGAGCAGGCUUUGUCCUGUGACUGCGUACCUUUUGUAUAAUGGGUCAGCGACUUAUAUUCAGUGGCAAGGUUAACCAUCUAGGGGAGCCGUAGGGAAACCGAGUCUUAACUGGGCGUUCAGUCUCUGGAUAUAGACCCGAAACCAGGUGAUCUAGCCAUGGGCAGGUUGAAGGUUGAGUAACAUCAAUGGAGGACCGAACCGACUAAUGUUGAAAAAUUAGCGGAUGACUUGUGGCUAGGGGUGAAAGGCCAAUCAAACCUGGAGAUAGCUGGUUCUCCCCGAAAGCUAUUUAGGUAGCGCCUCGGACGAAUACUACUGGGGGUAGAGCACUGUUAAGGCUAGGGGGUCAUCCCGACUUACCAACCCUUUGCAAACUCCGAAUACCAGUAAGUACUAUCCGGGAGACACACGGCGGGUGCUAACGUCCGUCGUGGAGAGGGAAACAACCCAGACCGCCAGCUAAGGUCCCAAAUUACUACUAAGUGGGAAACGAUGUGGGAAGGCUCAGACAGCCAGGAUGUUGGCUUAGAAGCAGCCAUCAUUUAAAGAAAGCGUAAUAGCUCACUGGUCGAGUCGGCCUGCGCGGAAGAUGUAACGGGGCUAAGUAGUAAACCGAAGCUGCGGCAAUGUGCUUUUGCACAUUGGGUAGGGGAGCGUUCUGUAAGCGGUUGAAGGUGUGUGGUAACGCAUGCUGGACGUAUCAGAAGUGCGAAUGCUGACAUGAGUAACGAUAAAGGGGGUGAAAAACCUCCUCGCCGGAAGACCAAGGGUUCCUGUCCAACGUUAAUCGGGGCAGGGUAAGUCGACCCCUAAGGCGAGGCCGAAAGGCGUAGUCGAUGGGAAACGGGUUAAUAUUCCCGUACUUCUUACAAUUGCGAUGGGGGGACGGAGAAGGCUAGGUGGGCCUGGCGACGGUUGUCCAGGUUCAAGUGCGUAGGCUUAAGAGUUAGGUAAAUCCGGCUCUUUUUAAGGCUGAGACACGACGUCGAGCACCUACGGGUGUGAAGUCAUUGAUGCCAUGCUUCCAGGAAAAGCCUCUAAGCUUCAGAUUGUAAGGAAUCGUACCCCAAACCGACACAGGUGGUCGGGUAGAGAAUACCAAGGCGCUUGAGAGAACUCGGGUGAAGGAACUAGGCAAAAUGGUACCGUAACUUCGGGAGAAGGUACGCUCUCGACGGUGAAGUCCCUCGCGGAUGGAGCUAUUGAGAGUCGCAGAUACCAGGUGGCUGCAACUGUUUAUUAAAAACACAGCACUGUGCAAAAUCGUAAGAUGACGUAUACGGUGUGACGCCUGCCCGGUGCCGGAAGGUUAAUUGAUGGGGUUAGACUUCGGUCGAAGCUCUUGAUCGAAGCCCCGGUAAACGGCGGCCGUAACUAUAACGGUCCUAAGGUAGCGAAAUUCCUUGUCGGGUAAGUUCCGACCUGCACGAAUGGCGUAAUGAUGGCCACGCUGUCUCCACCCGAGACUCAGUGAAAUUGAAAUCGCUGUGAAGAUGCAGUGUACCCGCGGCUAGACGGAAAGACCCCGUGAACCUUUACUACAGCUUGGCACUGAACAUUGACCCUACAUGUGUAGGAUAGGUGGGAGGCUUUGAAGCACGUACGCCAGUAUGUGUGGAGCCGUCCUUGAAAUACCACCCUUGUAGUGUUGAUGUUCUAACGUCGACCCCUUAUCGGGGUUGCGGACAGUGCCUGGUGGGUAGUUUGACUGGGGCGGUCUCCUCCCAAAGAGUAACGGAGGAGCACGAAGGUGGGCUAAUCACGGUUGGACAUCGUGAGGUUAGUGCAAUGGCAUAAGCCCGCUUGACUGCGAGAAUGACAAUUCGAGCAGGUGCGAAAGCAGGUCAUAGUGAUCCGGUGGUUCUGAAUGGAAGGGCCAUCGCUCAACGGAUAAAAGGUACUCCGGGGAUAACAGGCUGAUACCGCCCAAGAGUUCAUAUCGACGGCGGUGUUUGGCACCUCGAUGUCGGCUCAUCACAUCCUGGGGCUGAAGUCGGUCCCAAGGGUAUGGCUGUUCGCCAUUUAAAGUGGUACGCGAGCUGGGUUUAGAACGUCGUGAGACAGUUCGGUCCCUAUCUGCCGUGGGCGUUGGAAGAUUGAAGGGGGCUGCUCCUAGUACGAGAGGACCGGAGUGGACGAACCUCUGGUGUUCGGGUUGUGUCGCCAGACGCAUUGCCCGGUAGCUAAGUUCGGAAUCGAUAACCGCUGAAAGCAUCUAAGCGGGAAGCGAGCCCUGAGAUGAGUCUUCCCUGAUACUUUAAGUAUCCUAAAGGGUUGUCGGAGACUACGACGUUGAUAGGUCAGGUGUGUAAGUGCUGUGAGGCAUUGAGCUAACUGAUACUAAUUGCCCGUGAGGCUUAACCAU
rnacentral:rRNA from 1 species